GCGCUGAUACGAUACAAUAUUACCGAAACCGGUCAUAUAGGUAUCGGUGGUUUUCGACGUUUUUUUUUUUAGAGAAAACGAACCGGGAAAGUUUCUUUUCGAAUAAUUAAAAUUCGUAUCAAUAUCGUAGGUGUUGGUUGUUCGAUGCGCGCUUCGCUGUAUUUGAAACAAAUCAAACAUUACAUAUUCAUGCGGCGUUAUCAAAAAAAAAUUUAGUGACGAGGCAGUUAUACCGUACCUAUGGGUAUAGAGGUCGAGUAGAGGUCGAACACCUUGGUUGGUGUUUGUGGAUAUCGCAAACGCGACAACUAGAGCAAGGUUUGUUGGAUUUGGCCCCGAUGUAGGAAUUACUCCUCUGCAGGGCUGGGAUUGUGGUGAUUGGUUUUGAUUAUGCCGUCUAGGACAAAGUAGAAACGAUUAUCUCCAAUUUUGAAUACAUAUAUUGUAAUAUU